rnacentral:rRNA from 1 species
CCCCUGUAGUCCACGCUGUAAACGUUGUGCACUCGCUAUGAGCGGAUUCGACCCCGUUCGUGGCUUAGCUAACGCGUUAAGUGCACCGCCUGAGGACUACGGCCGCAAGGCUAAAACUCAAAGGAAUUGACGGGUCCCCGCACAAGCGGUGGAGCAUGUGGCUUAAUUCGAUGCAACGCGAAGAACCUUACCAGGCCUUGACAUGUAGUGGACCGGGACAGAGAUGUCCCUUCUCUUCGGAGCCGCUUCACAGGUGCUGCAUGGCUGUCGUCAGCUCGUGUCGUGAGAUGUUCGGUUAAGUCCGUCAACGAGCGCAACCCCUGUCCUUAGUUGCCAGCUUUAAGUAGGGGACUCUAAGGAGACAAACCGUUUUUAACGGUGGGAAGGUGGGGAUGAUGUCAAGUCAGUAUGGCCCUUACGGCCUGGGCUGCACACGUGCUACAAUGCCAAGUACAAUGGGUUGCUACCUCGCGAGAGGAUGCUAAUCUCCAAAGCUUGGCCCAGUUCGGAUUGGAGUCUGCAACUCGACUCCAUGAAGUCGGAAUCGCUAGUAAUGGCGCAUCAGCUACGGCGCCGUGAAUACGUUCCCGGGGAUUGUACACACCGCCCGUCACAUCAUGAAAGCCGGUUUCGCCCGAAGUGCGUGAGCUAACCCUUGUGGAGGCAGCGCCCUACGGUGAGGCUGGUAAUUGGGAUGAAGUCGUAACAAGGUAACCGUA